rnacentral:rRNA from 1 species
GAUGAACGCUGGCGGCGUGCUUAACACAUGCAAGUCGAACGGGAAACCUUUUAUUUAAGCUUCGGCAGAUUUAGCUGGUUUCUAGUGGCGGACGGGUGAGUAACGCGUGGGUAACCUGCCUUAUACAGGGGGAUAACAGUCAGAAAUGGCUGCUAAUACCGCAUAAGCGCACAGAGCUGCAUGGCUCAGUUUGAAAAACUCCGGUGGUAUAAGAUGGACCCGCGUUGGAUUGGCUGGUUGGUGGGGUAACGGCCCACCAAGGCGACGAUCCAUAGCCGGCCUGAGAGGGUGAACGGCCACACUGGGACUGAGACACGGCCCAGACUCCUACGGGAGGCAGCAGUGGGGAAUAUUGCACAAUGGGGGAAACCAUGAUGCAGCGACGCCGCGUGAAGGAAGAAGUAUCGCGGUAUGUAAACUUCUAUCAGCAGGGAAGAUAAUGACGGUACCUGACUAAGAAGCCCCGGCUAACUACGUG